GCGGAAGUAGUUCAGCGGUAGAACACCACCUUGCCAAGGUGGGGGUCGCGGGUUCGAGCCCCGUCUUCCGCU
rfam:Geobacillus kaustophilus HTA426 DNA, complete genome.